rnacentral:lncRNA from 1 species
GGCCAGGUGAUGUGACAUCAGGCCCUGGCAUGGACCGGUUGGUUUGGUGCAAGAAUAAUGGUGACAGUUUGUUACUACCACAGCAGUAACGGUUGUUUAUUGAGCGCCUACUGUGUGUAUUGGGUCUCUUAUGAUUCCUCCAUCAUUUAUUUUGUUGUUGUCUUUUUGCCUUUUCUGGGGCCACACCCAUGGCAUAUGGAGGUUCCCAGGCUAGGGGUCUAAUCGGAGCUGUAGCCACCGGCCUACGUCUGCAACCUACACCACAGCUCACGGCAACGCUGGAUCGUUAACCCACUGAGCAAGGCCAGGGAUCGAACCUGCAACCUCAUGGUUCCUAUCGGAUUCGUUAACCACUGAGCCAUGACGGGAACUCCUCCUCCAUCGUCUUUAUCAAGAGCCUGCUAUGUGCCAGCCAGGGUGAUAAGGCAUAGGGGGACUCGGUGUCAUUUCGUCGGGUCAGAGACAGAGCUCUGAAUUAAGGGAACCAGCUGUGAAGACUUUUAGGGGAAGGGUACGGGUGUGGGUGUGGGUGGGUGCAGCACAUGCAAAGGCCCUGUGGCAGAAGUGGGAUUGGCAGGUGGAAGCAACUGCAAGGAAGCCAGCAGGGCUGGAACAGAGUGAAUGAGGAAGAGGGUGGUGGGCAGUGUGGCUGGAGAGAGUGCAGGUGGGCAGAUCUCGGAGGGUCUUGCAGGUAAUUGCCUGGGCAUAGGGUUUGCUUCUGCGCAAGGAUGGAGCCUUUGGAGGGUUUUGAGCAGGGGGGGGACACCCUCUGACUUUGGCUUUCAAAAGCAUCCCUUAGAAGUUCCCGCUGUGGUGCAGUGGGUUAAGAAUCCAGCAGCUUGGGUUGUUGCGGAGGCUUGGGUUUGAACCCUGACCCAGCACAGUAGUUAAAGCAUCUGAUGUUGCUGCAGCUUCACAUAGGUCACAGCUGUGGCUCAGAUUCAGUUCUUGGCCUGGGAACUUCCAUAUGCCACAGGUGCAACCAUAAAGAAACAAACAUAUUUUCAAAAAGCACCCCUUAGAGUUCCCUGGUGGCCUAGUGUUUAAAGGUCCAGCAUUGUCACUGCUGUGGCAUGCAUGGGCGUGGCCAAAAACAAGAGCAUCCUUUGGCUAGAUGGAAAAUAGUCUAAAUCUCCAGACCAGUAGCCACGGGUCAUGUAUGGCCAUUUAAAUUUAAACUAAUCAGAAAGAAAUAAAGCCAGAAAUACAGUUCCUCCAUCACAAUAGCCAUAUUUCAGGCACUCAGUACCCAGCGCAGAUACGGAAUAUUUCCAGAGUCAAAGGAACUUCUCUUGGACAGUGCUGUGUCAGGGGGCGAGUGUGUGCGCCUGGCACCUGCUGGGCACUGCCGUAAUGAUCUAGGUGACAGGUGAUGCUGAUACCUGGCUACUCGGUAGCAUUGGUGGAGGGUGUGACAGGUGACUGGAAGCAGGACCUAGUGGGAGUUGAAGAGGACAGACUUGCUGGUGGGGUGGCUGUAAAUGCAUGAGGGAGGGAAGCCAGGGCGCCUCCAUGGCUGUUGCUGGAGAGGUGUUGACUAGAUGAGGACGCAGACAUGGUUGGAACUCAUGCAUCAAGCACUCAGCCUUUGCCAGACACAGACUGGGCACCGCACACGGUCCCCUGGAGUCCUCAUGACAGCCCCGCUUUCAGCAGAGGCCCCGCGGAAGGCCAUGGCCUGCCCGGCGCCUCUGGCUCAGGGUUCAGAACAGCAGGAUUCAAAUCCGGGUCGUCUCAGCUCUGAGUUGUUCCCGUGGGACACCUCAUUGGCCAUUCUCUCAUCCCAGGAACCACCUGCCAGGUGACAGGCUCUUCUGCCCCAGAGCGAGUUCAUUUGGGACCGACAUGGAGCACUGGCCAUGCUUGGCAGGUGCCCAGCCGCUGGCCUCUUGGACCAGGGUGGCGCUCACUGAGCCGUGGCCCGUGACAGUGGGUCACGUGGCACAGCAAGGCAGCUCUUCUAUCCAGUACCAACUCUAGGCCGACAUCUAACAGCUCCGAGGGCAUAUCUUACAAUAGUUCUGUGGAGGAGAUGGGUACCUCCCCCGUUUUCCAGAUGUGAAAACCGAGGCUCAGAGAGGUGCAGUCACUUGCUCAGUCACACAGCAGCUAAGUUGUAGAGGUGGGGUUUGAACUCAGGUCUGUUGGAAUCCAAAGCCUUUGUUGUUUACCUCUGGGAUCCACCGCCUCACCCUGAAACAGUGGAGAGCAGAGCCUCCCACGGAGGCAGGUGUACUUUUAAUUUCAGACCUUGUCACGGCCCAGGAUUGAGUGGGCUGGAAUCCCGUAUGCCCUGACAAGGCACUGACCCACCCAGAGAAAGAGGCAUCUUAUUCUUUACACAAAGGCUCCCCGAGCUCAAUAGGCCAUGCCCUGUGCUGGCUGAGAGGGGUUUCACUUUCUAAUCCCACAGCCUGGCUGGCACCUAAAAUGGCAGGCACGGAGAAGUGGCGAGAAUGAAGCAAAGCCUGGAGGGCAGCCGUGGGAGGCGUCUCAGCUCCGCGGUCGUGCCCUGGAGCCGAGGAGCUGCCCGUCUGGAGUUCACAUCCCUGCUCUGCCUCUUCUGCCCCUGUGACCCCAGGGAGGUCCUGAAUUCUACAGGCUGCAGUUCCUUUUUGUUGUUAACAUGGGAGCGCUCGAGUUCCCGUUGUAGCUCAGCGGUUAGCCAACACGACUAGUGUCCAUGAGGUUGCGGGUUCGAUCCCUGGCCUCGCUCAGUGGGUUAAGGAUCCAGCAUUGCUGUGAGCUGUGAUGUAGGUCACAGAUGCGCCCUGGAUUCUGCGUGGCUGUGGCUGUGGCUGUGGUGUAGGCCAGCAGCUGCAGAUCCAGUUUGACCCCUAGCCUGGAAACUUCCAUAUCCCUCCCCCCAAAAAAGGAAAGAAAAUGGGAAUGAAGCUGAUAAUAAUCUCCUUCUCCUAGUAGGAAAUAACUUUCCAUCUGAGACAUGAUCCCAAGACUCAGAGUAUAAGGUGUGUUAGAAACGCAGCCUCUCAGACCCUACUCAAACGGAAUGUAGGGGGAAGGGGGUCCCCAAACACACAGGUGAUCCAUAUCACAUUAGAAGCGAGAAGCUCCAGGGUGAACUAAACGAGAUAGUUCUGUAGCUCUGAGAGGCACCGCACUGCUCCUGGUAGGUUCGUUCGUUCUCAUUAGCUGUGCAGUGUCCGGCCGCCUCUCUUGUACUCUGAGCCCUUGUUAUUACAGGGCUCGUGUUGCAGAGAUGCGGUGCCCUGGAAAACAGAUCAGUACCUAGAAGAGCUUCUGCGCUUGGCCCUGCUCCUGCUGCUAUCUGGCCAUUUACCCGCCUGGAAGAGCCAGGCUUCCAUUGCAAACCGCAGGCUGGAGGCCGACCAGCCCUGCCACGGCUCAGCUGUCUGCAGCUGGUGGUGCCUGGGCCCGGCCGACGGAGCUGCAGAGCCUGAGCCCAGGGCCCGGGGGCCAGCCACUCGGCCUCCCUUCUCUCUCCUGGCUUGCAGUUUUAAGACAGAUCGAUAGAUGUAGUCUGCCGGAGCCUGGGGUGAGUGGGAGAGAAGCAGGCGGCUAUUACAUCACGGGGGAGCCUGAGUCUUAACAGGGCAGAUCCGUCUCUCAGGGAAGAAGAGAAUGCAGCCCCCCCGCCGCCGGGGAGUCGGCAGCCCAGAAGGGGCUGCAAAUAAAGACCUGGCACUGCGGCCAUCGGCAUCGACCUCACAGCCCCACUUCACUCUCUCUUGGGGGAGCUUCCCUAAGAUGUAUUCAUGAAGGCCUCCAGAGACUCACUUUCUAAGUGUAUAUAUGCGUAGACACAUUUAAAAAUAGCUAUGUCUCCGUGCAUAUGUAUUAUAUAUUUAGUGCUCUCAAAGCAGAAAUAAAACCAUAAAGCUCUAAGAGAGGAAUCUCAUCUCCACGUAAUGUGGUUCUGAGCCCCUUCCUGGAAUCUCUGAGCUGGGGUGGGGGGUGGGGGGACAAAGCCGGCCUGCGCCACAGUCUGAGCCAGCGAUUCGUGAGCUGGAGUGCCCGCGGGCAGCGCAGAGAGCCUGAUACAGGAGCACCGUUCAUGGGCGAAGGUGGCUGUGGGCUGGGCUGCCCUGCAUUUCACACAGGCAAGCCCAGGUGGCUCCGCAGGUCACACUUUUAGCAGUUGGGUUCGGGGAGGGGGGAGAAUCAGCACCCGACAGGUGCUCAGUAAAUGUUUGACGAGUGGAGGCCUAUGUAUGAGGCUGAAUAAAAUGUGCGUGAGGUAGCGGGUCAGUGGACGGAGAAUGAGUUUGCAAACGAUGACCUGCAGGUAGAGCAGUGAGUGCAGGGAAGCAGAGGGGGGUCCAGGACGGUGGGGGAGGGGUGGGCCCCUCCGCAGUGGGCCAGAUGAAGGCUUGCUGCUCUGAUGUGUCUCGUGAGGGCUGGCCGCUCCACGAGGGAACUCACGGAGCUGGUGACGGGCUCAGUUCUGGGAGUGAGGCAGACCUGGCAGGGUUACCAUGGGACCUAUGGGAAGUCCCUCCUUGGACCAAGGUCGGGGCAGGAUCGUGAACUUUAGUCGUCGCCCCAGCCGGGUGUGGAGGGGGGGUGCUUUUGGCUAUGUGGCAGACCUUCCAAAGGUUGCCCUUGGGGUGCCAGUGGGCUUGCUCAGAGGAGAGGAGCCUUUCUCCCUGCUGUUUACCGUAUGAGCCCCAUGCGUUCUCCAGGCCCCGCUGCCUCUAGAUGGCCUUCCCAGCUCCAGGCACCCAUCACAGCAGCUCAGCUCCCGAGGCCGUGGGAGAGCUGCCAGGGCCGGCCCGCAGGCCCCUGGCACCUUCAUGGCCACUUCUGGCUGCAUUUUGCUUCCUCCUUCUACCUCCUCAGGCCAAGCCCAGCCUCCAGCAUGCCCAGCUCACACUCUGCAGCUUCCUCAUUGGCACGGAGCCCUCUUCUCUCUCACCCUCAGGUUCCCAGGUCCAAGGGAAGGACCCUCAUGUGGCCGGGCUCAGGGUGGAUACUGACCUCUGGACCGUCACCCAGGCGGCUACCAGGUGGGGCCAGAGUGUAUGAGGGCAGCUUGCUGUGGUAACCAUGGUGGCCCUCCAGCGCGUGGAGGCGGGGGAGUUCAGAGUGUUCCAAAGGGGGGGCCCUGUGCCGCCUGCGCCCCCUGCCGCUUCUGCCCUUCAUUCAUCUCAUCGCGGGAAGGGAGCGUGAACGCCCAGCUGUCUGUAGUGUUUCUCCGCCUUGGAGAACACGAGCUACAUCCGGACACGUGGCCCUAUUGGUCUUUUCUCAGCCCUGCGGGGCUGGGGCUGGCGCAGGGUGAGUGGGCACGGAUGUCACCUGGCUGGACGCGCCCCCUCCUCCAGGUUUCAGGACUAGGACCAGAACGUGUCCUCACAGCCAGAGGGAAACUUCAGGCGAGAAACUCGAGAGCCUGGAAAAAUAGUUGGUCCUUUGAAGCUGAAGUCGGGCAUCAGGGGACAUGGGGACCGUCGACUGUCAUUUGUUUGGACAAGCGAGGCUUCUGCCACUCUGUCUCGGACACUCCGGGGAGACAAAGGCGCUUCAGAUCGGAGGCUGCCCUCUCCCCAGGGCGGAGGGCAGGCCGGGCGGCUGCACGCCUUUGCUUCCAGAUGAAAUUAUGUGCUUGGGGUUUGGUGGACUUAGGCCUCAUUCAUGCGUCUCUGUUUGCUCAGCCCUCCUGGCCCCAUCUCUGGUCUCUCAGCCUCCUGGGGACAGAGAGGGGCCUUGCUGCUCUUCCAGGGAGUGAGGUCAUUAUUCUCCCCUGCCCUCUCGCACUGUCUCUCUGAAAUCUCCUUCUUCAGCAGGUACCGCUCAGGGCCCUCCCACGCAAGACCGAGAGGGGAGCCGUGCAUGGCUGAGCUCGAGUCCCAGCUCUGCUGUGCUCUAGCUGUGUGACCCUGGGCACAUUCCUUGACCUGCCUGUUUCGCCUUCUAUACCAUGAGGCCCGUAUUGCCUGCCUACCAGGUCUCGGCAAGGGUCUAUUACAUUCAUUCCUCCUUUUCUCCUAAGACCAAGUGAUCCUACUCCCAAUUCCCAAGAGACGUGAACAAGAAUGUUCAGAGCAGACUGAAUAAUAACCUAAAAGUGGAAACAGCCCGAGUAUCCAUGGACAGCAGAAUGGAUAGACAGAUUAUGGCAUAACCACGCAGUGGAGUACUGUACAGCAGUGAACAGUAACGCACACUGCAAAUGAACCUCGCAAGCAUCAUGGUGAGCCAAGCAAGCCAGACACAGAUGAGGACCUACUGCAUGAGUCCAUUUCUGCCAAGUUCAAGUGCAGCCAGAACUAGCCUGUAGUGAUAGAGGUCACAGAGUGGUUAUUUCUGGGGGAUGUCGACCAGGAAGAGGCACGAGGGAGCCUGCUGGAUCCAGGGGGUGGUCACGAGAAGCCCCCCUCCCCGCUGUGUGCAUGUGUGAACAUUCUUCAGGCUUGCACCUGCAACAGAAGGGAACUGUGUCCCCUCCUCUCAGGUGAGGGGCUGCUCCUCGAAAACCCCGCAGCCCCUGGGCCACCAGGACGCCACGCCUGGGCAGUGAGUCACUCUUCUCCAUGCCAGGCAGGAGCUCCAGGGACAGGGGAAUGACCCCACAGCGCGAAGGCCGGCCCGGCAGGAGGCCCAGGCACAGCCCUUGGCUGCCAGGGAGGGAGGAGGAGAGUGGAAACUUGUGCAGUCGUUUCUCACUUUUCAAGCCAGUUAACGGGGACCAACCUCACAGAUGAGCAACAGCCCGAACCUUGGCUCUUUCUGUUCGAGAAACCACAGAGGAAGGGAGAGUUGGAUUUGGCUGUAGAGAAAGUGACCCUUGAGUGUGGAGAAACCGACCACACAUAAGCCCCAUCAUAAACCAAUUUGGAAGGCAAACGAUGAAACGGGAAAAUGCAGUGGCAGCGUAUUGGACAAGUGAAGGGAAAAAUCCUUAAUGUGCAAAGAGUGUGCGUGAAUCGGUGAGAAGCCGUGACCACCUCAGGGGAAAAUGUGCAAAGAGCAAAAGGAGAAAUGCAGUGACCAGUAACUGGGUGAGAAGAACCAGCCUCCCGUUAACCGGAGAUGCACAUUAAAAAGGAAAUACGGGGAAGUUCCUCUUGUGGCUUAGUGGUAACGAACCCGACUAGUAUCCAUGAGGUUGUGGGUUUGAUCCCGGGCCUUGCUCAGUGAGCUGAGGAUCCACUGUUGCUUGUGGCUGUAGUGCAGGUCGCAGAGGUGGCUUGGAUCCUGCGUUGCUGUGGCUGGGGUGUAGGCUGGCAGCUGCAGCUCCUCUUCAACCCCUAGCCUGGGAGCUUCUGUGUGCCACACGUGUGGCCUUAGAAAGUAGAAAAGAAAAUUAAAAGUUAAAAAAAAUUAAAAGGGGAGUUCCCGUCGUGGCGCAGUGGUUAACGAAUCCGACUAGGAACCAUGAGGUUGCGGGUUCGGUCCCUGCCCUUGCUGCUGUGGCUGUGGCGUAGGCCGGUGGCUACAGCUCCGAUUCAACCCCUGGCCUGGGAACCUCCAUAUGCCGCGGGAGCGGCCCAAGAAAUAGCAACAACAGCAAAAAGACAAAAGACAAAAAAAAAAAA